ensembl:lncRNA
AUAACUUUUAUCAAAGAGUAAAGUUUUAGGCAUUAUAUCAAAAGUAAAGCAUGUGUCUGCCUUCUGAACACAAUCUGGGAGCUGACUACACGUGUCAGCUUUUCAGCAUCACUCUGAGACAGGAUGUUAUUGAUCUUGGCCAAAAUAGCAAAGUGAAAGAAGGCCAUUCUAGAGACUUGUUUUAUGUGUGAGAUAAAGGACACAUCGGGGAGGGGGGUGAUCCUCCCUCAAAAAAAAACAUAAGUGGAAGAAGAGGCAAAUUAAACAAUAAGGGGACAGAAAAAUAUAAAAGGCAGACAAGAAAAGGAAAUAAAUGUAAAGAACAUAAAACAAGGUUGACCAGGUAACAAAGAAUUAAAAAAGAACAUAAAAAUAACAGGGAAUAAAAUGGUGCUUCCAAAAAUAAAAAAUAUAAGGUAAAUAAUCUAUGUUUAAAAAGUUUGGAGAGGUAAAGAUUUUAAGAAUAAGAAAAAGAGUGGAGAGGUAAAGCAAACAUAACAAAAAAGGAUGAAAAAAGGGUGGUGAGGUCAAGAAUUUAAGAAUAGAAAAGGGUCAAGAGGUGAGGCUGUGUCCAGAUAUCACUGCAACUGCUUCAAGGCAGUGCAUUUAUGCUUGCUUUUAUCUUUAGCUUAUUUUCACUAAGUCACAGGAUGCUCUGAGUGAUGCUGAGAAGAAAAUGUUCCAGAACAGCUCUGGUCAUGUGAACAAGUUUACAAGGUGGGGACGAGCUUCAUAGCUAAACUGAUGGAUUAUGUAAUUCUCAUGGUGACAGUUUGUAUUUUUUUAAUGAAAAGCCAUGGGUUAAUAAAUCUAUCCGCAUUGCUCUUAACGCGCGCAACACUUCCUACAACUCAGUCCUUAUCAUUGGCUGUCUGGACAAAUACAAAGUGUCACCAUUCAGACUGAAAUGAGCAGUAAAGGAUGCCAAGUGGAGAUACAAUGAUAAAGCGAAAUCACAAUUUCAACGAGUGACCACAGAAGGAAGAUAACAGAGGUAAAAGUCAAAGGGUGAAGGAGGGAGAUGAAGGAAAAGAGAGGAAAAUAAGAAAAUGUCUCUCAUCUGUUUUCCAGUGGAGCCACUCCAACAGCAGAAGAGUCGUGUUCCUUUCAGUCAUCCUCUAACUUCUACAUGAGGCUCCCGAAAGGCAGAAACAUG